GUGGGGAAUCUUGGACAAUGGGCGCAAGCCUGAUCCAGCCAUGCCGCGUGUGUGAUGAAGGCCUUAGGGUCGUAAAGCACUUUCGCCAGAGAUGAUAAUGACAGUAUCUGGUAAAGAAACCCCGGCUAACUCCGUGCCAGCAGCCGCGGUAAUACGGAGGGGGUUAGCGUUAUUCGGAUUUAUUGGGCGUAAAGAGCGCGUAGGCGGCCUUACAAGUCAGAUGUGAAAGCCCCGGGCUCAACCUGGGAACUGCAUUUGAUACUGCCAAGCUAGAGUAUGAUAGAGGCAAGUGGAAUUCCAGGUGUAGCGGUGAAAUGCGUAGAUAUCUGGAGGAACAUCAGUGGCGAAGGCGACUUGCUGGAUCAAUACUGACGCUGAGGUGCGAAAGCGUGGGUAGCGAACAGGAUUAGAAACCCUAGUAGUCC
rnacentral:rRNA from 1 species